rnacentral:rRNA from 1 species
UUGGNCGCCGGCGGCAUGCUUUACACAUGCAAGUCGAACGGUAACAGGCCGCAAGGUGCUGACGAGUGGCGAACGGGUGAGUAAUACAUCCGGAACGUGCCCGAUCGUGGGGGAUAACGGAGCGAAAGCUUUGCUAAUACCGCAUACGAUCUACGGAUGAAAGCAGGGGACCGCAAGGCCUUGCGCGGACGGAGCGGCCGAUGGCAGAUUAGGUAGUUGGUGGGAUAAAAGCUUACCAAGCCGACGAUCUGUAGCUGGUCUGAGAGGACGACCAGCCAUACUGGGACUGAGACACGGCCCAGACUCCUACGGGAGGCAGCAGUGGGGAAUUUUGGACAAUGGGCGAAAGCCUGAUCCAGCCAUGCCGCGUGCAGGAUGAAGGCCUUCGGGUUGUAAACUGCUUUUGUACGGAACGAAAAGACUCUGGUUAAUACCUGGGGUCCAUGACGGUACCGUAAGAAUAAGCACCGGCUAACUACGUGCCAGCAGCCGCGGUAAUACGUAGGGUGCAAGCGUUAUCGAAUACUGGGCGUAAGCGUCCCAGCCGUNUAUAAACAAUGGAAUCCCGGCUACUGGACUGAUUGUACUGANCUGAUCGAGAGGGUGAU